AAGAAGAAGAAGAAGCAACUCCAAAUGAACAAUCAACGCGCUCGCGUCAAGUAACCUUUACCUGUACCUGCAACUCGUGUUGUAGUAAUCUGUGAGCCACAGGGGACACAACAAUCUCAUUUCCAAAGGUAUCAAGACUAGCAAAGCUUAAUGGGUGAGGUAUGGUUAAGUGGUGAGGUUGCAGCAGCGGCUAAGCAUAUAUUAGGUGGCUACACUUACGAGUACAAGAAAUAAGAGGGGGGUGAUCUACGCAUAGCGGACGUGACUACUGAUGAUCAAAUGAAUGAUCCUGAACACCUACCUACGUCAGACAUAACCCCACCGUGUCCUCGAUCGGAGAAGGAACUCACGAAAGAGACAGUCACGGUUACGCAGACAGUUGGCAUGUUUUAAUUAAGUUAACUUCAAGUUAUCUAGAACCCGUGUUAAACAAAGUUUCCACGUUGCCACAUAACCGCGGGCAUGGCUUUCCGAAAGAUUUAACCCUGGAGGGGUGCUCCAACUAGUCCAUCACAAAUUACCACAAGCCGCAUAGAAAUCCUCAAUCACGAAGCUCGCGAUCUCGUCGGAUUCCCUAGUGGAAAACCUCAACUCUGAGAUUACCCAAAGCAUCACCAGAAUCCCGAUGCACAAGAUAUCUCGUCAAAGGUAAAACUAAUCCAGCAAGGCCGCCCGACGUGUCGACGAUCCCGAUAGGAGUCGUGUACCUCGUUCUCAGGACACGGCGGAUGAGCUAGACGUCGGGAUCGCUAAACCUCCGGGUGACCAGAGGGUCGCCGGACAUCGCUCAGGUGGGACCAACACUCAUGAGGAGCACUAGCCCGGGGGUUGAUUAAAUUAUCCUUGGGGUCCGGAAAGUCCCUAUGCAAUUUUAUUAGGUGUUUAGGCAAAAGUAGUACAAAGUUGGGCCUUGCCAGACCACCUUUAAUCUAAAACGAAUUAUCAAGGGGGUCCCCAUAACAACCCCGAUCGUGUUAGGAGCACUCAUUUAUGGAACAUAACACCGGUAGCCGGAAACUAAGGGGGCAAAGGUGGCACAAAACACCAGGCUAGUAAGGCCGAGCCUUCCACUUUUACCAAGUAUAUAGGUUCAUUAAAUUAAAUGGCAUUUGGAUAUGGUGAUAUAACAAGGAACCCAUGUUAUCACAUGGAAGCAACUGCACCUGCAACUAGCAACGCUAUCAACAGGGUUAAGCAAGCGGUAACAUAGCCAGUCAGUGGUUUGCUAGGUUGCACAGGUUGAAGGUUGCAUGGCAUUGUUGAGAGGCUGAUAUUUAACAUGUGGUAGGCAUCGAGACAUAAACGAUAGAAGCAAUAAAACUAGCAUGGCAAUGAUAGUAAUGGUAUAUGGGGAAAUGGUCAUCUUGCCUGAGAUCCCGCUUGGAAGAAGAAUGACUCCGUGAAGCAGACGAACCGAUGUAGUCGAACGAGUCCUCACUUUCCGACACACUUGCGGAACUCCACCGAGACGGAGCAAACCGGAAAAGAAUCAACACACGAUAUUCAUCACUCACAUGCAUGAUAUGAUGCUCACCCUAAUAUGAUGCAUGAUCAGUUAAAAUAUGCAAGGCAUGGCAUGGCAUGGCAAAUCACAUCACACAACCACUACACAUUAAGUGAAGCUCAAUAUGCAACAACGAGUUGCAUAUUGACGAAACUCCACAUACGAACUGUUUAGUUCCCUCUUGAUUACGUACACGGCAUAUUAAAUGUUGUUAACAUGGCAAGGGGUGAUGCACAAGUUAAUCUACCUAUCUAGGCAUUUUAAAUGAGGCCGGAAACAACUUAUAACAUCUCCGAGAUGACCCCACGCGUUAAAUUCUAAUUCUGUCCAGGUUUGUCCUAAUCACAUUUUAAGUUUGUUAAACAGAAAAACAAAGU
rnacentral:lncRNA from 1 species